UACGCGGCAUCAGACACACUCAUUCACACCCUUUUUGAAAGACAACACUGACAUACUGACAUAUUGACAAGGAGAACAGCUGAAGCCAGAAGUCUAAGAACGUAAUUUCCUGCUUCUUCCUGCUUCACUUUGGAAAAUCUCAGAAGACAACAUGGCCUGAGGCAGCACACAUGCUUUAAUAAGCUUGCUACAGCACUAUCAAUCCAAUUCCAGAUAUUUUCAUCUACGCUAAACUGAACUUUAUACUAUUUUUCAUUGUGUUUGUGAUGCCACCUGUGUGACAAUAAACUCACACGUUAUUUUCAAAUCAACCUGACUAUGAAUGAUCUUCAUUCAGAAACGCCCUUGAGCUACAAGAAUAUUACUUAUUAAUACUACAUUCUUACACUGGCGAGCCAAAAAAAGUACUGUCUUAUCUCUAUUUUUACGGAAAUCUCGACCCUUGAUGAGGGGGGGGGAGAGAUUGGCGCAGUUUUUGCGAAUAUUCAAGUCUCGAUAAAAAAGACGGUUCAGAACCUAUCAAGCAAGAGGCGUUUGUGUUGCGUCAGAUGUGGACAACAGUCCAGUAACAGACGGUUGAAGACGAGAAAUUCUUCUAAUAACGAUAUGGCAUCUAAAAAUCAAACAAAUAUGGAGGAUAACAAGCUCCUAUAAAGAGCAAAGAGAAUAUCAAGAAAUUUGAAGUUAAAAGAAGAGAUCCUUUUUGGAAGAAUAUUUGACAAAAUAUUUAUAUUUCAUAUUUAUGAACUAUUUUAUCUUAUUAAUCAAGGUUUUUCUAACCUAACGGAACUUGAAGAAAUUUUAAAGACAUUUCAUGAAGAAACAUUAAUCGGAAGGAACUUUAUCUAUCUACUAUAGAUAAACAAUUUAGGACUGAAACAUUUGUAUACAUAUACAUUUUUUGAUCAUCCAAUUAUUCUGAUAUUAAUGUUCACAUUAAGUUAGGAUUAUUAUUUUUAUUUAUUUUUUAUUUAUUCACAUAUUGAAUGUUAGCACAAUCAUUCUAGUUAAUAGAACAUUUUGUGUUCAUAACUUAAGAAACAUAUCAGUAAUAGAACAAUGGAAAGUUAUGAAGGUUUUAGAGUAUAAAGUAUAUUUCCAAAGAGCUAAAAUAUUAUUUGAGCACAUAUAUGGAAAUAUAUUAUUGAAUUAUUUACUUAGUUUAAUAAUAAUAAUUUUCAUUAUUAUUAUUAUUAAUAUUAAUAAUUAUUGAUAUUAGUCAUUAUGUUAUACAUUUUUAAAAUCCUAUACCAUUAUUUUAAGAUUUUGAAUAGAUAGAUCUAAGAGGAGUUAAAAGUAAAAAGAGAAAAGCAUUUAGGAAAAUGAUAAUUUCUAGUUGCUUCAGUUCUGAGGAAUAUUGUGUCCAAUCGUUUGAUACAAGGGGGAGAAAAUGAGAUACAAAUGGUUAUGUAUGUAUGUAUGUAUUUAAUGAUUUAGUAUGAUUAAUCAUAAUUCAGGGGGGAUUGUUAGAAUAUUAUUUCAAAUUCAUAAUUCGGCAAUUCAUAAUAAGCUUGCAAAACAUAUUUUGAUUUAUGAUUAAUCAUAGUAAUUAGGUAUGAAUGAAUGACCUUGAUCAAUUGAUAUGACAUAAUUCUUCUAUUCAAAAACUGAGCAUUUCUGGUUAGCCAAUUUGAGAAUGACAUAUAAGGAAUCUUGGUGUAGGGUGACAAGAAUAGAUUCAGAAUAGAUCUGUAUUUACGUAGUGAUAUCAAUAAUAUACUAGUUCAUAUCUAUUGUUAAGCUAGUUUAGUAAAAUUGUAUUUAUACUAGUAUGUAUUGGUAUAUAGUUACUUAAUGAAGUUAUAGCUUUAUAGCUGAUAAUAUAUGUUUUAUGACAUUGCAUCAUCUGCACACCACUCAGUAUAUUCUAAGUAUAGAGUGUCACAUGUGUGCCUGUCAAUCAAACUCCAUACGACACUCGUAUGUGCUAAAACCUUUCCUUGGUAUAACAUAUUGCUGAACAUAAGCAGAUAUUAAUGUUUGCCAUACUAGGGUCUAAGUCUGGACCGUAUGAGGUCACGAUGUUCAUUUGUAACAUAUAUAUAUAUGCUUUGCUAAGAAGGCUGGGCACUCACAUUUGCACCACACACUUACACUAAGACACCCUCUUUGAAAGACAACACUGACAUACUGACAUAUUGACAAGGAGAACAGCUGAAGCCAGAAGUCUAAGAACGUCAUUUACUGCUUCUUCCUGCUUCACUUUGGAAAAUCUCAGAAGACAACAUGGCCUGAGGCAGCACACAUGCUUUAAUAAGCUUGCUACAGCACUAUCGAUCCAAUUCCAGAUAUUUUCAUCUACGCUAAACUGAACUUUAUACUAUUUUUCAUUGUGUUUGUGAUGCCACCUGUGUGACAAUAAACUCACAUGUUAUUUUCAAAUCAA